rnacentral:rRNA from 1 species
CCUACGGGAGUCAGCAGUUGGGAAUAUUGCACACUGGGGGAAACCCUGAUGCAUCGACGCAGCGUGAGUGAAGAAGUAAUUCGUUACGUAAAGCUCUAUCAGCAGGGACGAAAAUGACGGUACCUGAGUAAGAAACCCCGACUAACUACGUGCCAGCAGCCGCUGUAAUACGUAGGGGGCAAGGGUUAUCCGGAUUUCCUGGGUGUAAAGGGAGAGUAGACGGUGCGCCAAGUCUGUAGUGAAAUGCCGCAGCUUAACUGCGGAACUGCUUUGGAAACUGGCGAACGAGAGAGUGGGAGGGGUGAGCGGAAUUCCGAGUGUAGCGGUGAAAUGCGUAGAUAUUAGGAGGAACACCGGUGGCGAAGGCGGCUUACUGGACCGUAACUGACGUUGAGGCUCGAAAGCGUGGGGAGCAAACAGGAUUAGAUACCCCAGUAGUC